rnacentral:rRNA from 1 species
GAUGAACGCUAGCGGCAGGCUUAAUACAUGCAAGUCGAGGGGCAGCGCAGUGUAGCAAUACAUGGGCGGCGACCGGCAAACGGGUGCGGAACACGUACGCAAUCUACCCAAAACUGGUGAAUAGCCCUCCGAAAGGAGGAUUAAUACACCGUAACCUGAUGAAGUGGCAUCACUUUAUUAGUAUAGCUCCGGCGGUUUUGGAUGAGCGUGCGGCUGAUUAGGUAGUUGGGUGGGUACGGCCCACCAGCCUGCGAUCAGUAACUGGUGUGAGAGCACGACCAGUCAC